GGGGCUGAUUCUGGAUUCGACGGGAUUUGCGAAACCCAAGGUGCAUGCCGAGGGGCGGUUGGCCUCGUAAAAAGCCGCAAAAAAUAGUCGCAAACGACGAAAACUACGCUUUAGCAGCUUAAUAUCCUGCUUAGAGCCCUCUCUCCCUAGCCUCAGCUCUUAGGACGGGGAUCAAGAGAGGUCAAACCCAAAAGAGAUCGCGUGGAAGCCCUGCCUGGGGUUGAAGCGUUAAAACUUAAUCAGGCUAGUUUGUUAGUGGCGUGUCCGUCCGCAGCUGGCAAGCGAAUGUAAAGACUGACUAAGCAUGUAGUACCGAGGAUGUAGGAAUUUCGGACGCGGGUUCAACUCCCGCCAGCUCCACCA
rnacentral:tmRNA from 1 species